rnacentral:rRNA from 1 species
CUCAAAGAUUAAGCCAUGCAAGUCAAUAUAUUUAUAUAUUGUUUAAAUUAGAUACUAAUGCAACUACAGAUAGCUGAUUAAUACAGUUACACUUGUCUUGACUUUUAAAUUAUUUUAUUUAAGAAAAAAAUAUUCUUAAGAAUAUUUAUUUUUUUAAUUUUGAUAACUAUAUUAAGGAAACUUUGGCUAAUACGUAUAUAUUCUUAAAUGAUAUAUUUUUAAUAAAGUUAUUUUUAUUCUUAACUUUUAUUAAGAUUUCGUUUUUUCAUGACUAUGUUAUAAUAUUUAUUUUUUUUAAUAAAAUUAUUUUUAAUUGGAAAAUUAACAUAUUAAAACAGACUUAUAAAUUUGUUUAUUUUAAGCAUGUCAUACAAGCAUCUAUUCGCAUCAAGUCACAGGGUUGGCAAGUGUAUAUUUGAACCUUCAAAGCAAUAACGUAUAAAGAGGAGUAGUUUCUUAUCCCUCAGAAGGAGCAUCGUACUAUGAGAUACAGCUCUUAGUUCUAAGGAACGCAGCAGGCACGAAAAUUAUCCAAUGAUAAAAAAUUUAUUAAUAACAAAUUUUUUUAAAGAAUUUAUUUUUAAAUAAGGUUAUUAUUAUCUCUUGAGAUAGUAACAAACAGUAACUGUUGAAUAUGUAAAACAUAUAGUUAUAAUGUUUUUACUUUUUAAGUAAAUAAUUAUUAUAAAAUAUAUAUAAGCUCAAUUGGAAUGCGGUGAGUUUAAAUAACUCAGAGGUUUUUUUUUAAGAGAUCAACUGAAAACUAGAGAUGGGAAAGUCUGGUGCCAGCAGCCGCGGUAAUACCAGCAUCUCUAGCUUAUAUAAUCAUUGUUGCGGUUAAGAGGCUCGUAGUUGGAUUGAUAAAAAUUACUUGAUUUUAAUUAUACUUUGUGAAUAAAUCAAAGCGUAUAAAGCAGUCUUUUUUAAUGACUUGUAUGUGUAAUCAUGAGAAGUACCUUUACUACUUUAAUACAAAUAUGAUGGAGAUAGUUGAAGUUAAUUGUAUUAUACGGCGAGUGGUGAAAUACUUUGACCCGUUUAGGACGUACUGAAGCGAAAGCGGUUAACUAGACUAUACUUUUUUUCUUAAACAUUGAAAUAUUUUUAUUGAUUUUCAAUAACAAUUUACAAUGAAGAGCGAAGGUUAAGGAAGCUAAGUGGAUCAGAUACCCACGUAGUCUUAAUAUUUUUCUACAUCAAACGAUGUAAUCUUAUAUGCCCUUAACUUUUUAUGAUAUGAGGUUAGAGUUUUAUUUACUCCCUCUAUAAGAUUCGUACUAUUAAUUAUUUUGAUAACAUUCUUUAAACAGUGUUAAAAGAUUAUUUUUAUUUGUUAAUAAAUACUAUUAAGCUUUGAGCUCAAUAUUUUUUAUUGGUAAGAUGCUUUUAACUUUAUAUUGAUUUGAUUUUAUUAUUUAAUUAAUAAUCAAUUAAUGUAAAUAUAUUAAUGCACGCUUUAGGCAUAAAUUUACUGCAGAAAUGUUUGAGACAUUAUUCUCCUGGGGAAGUAUGUACGCAAGUGUGAAACUUGAAGGAAUUGACGGAAGGGCACCACCAGAACGCGUGGAGCAUGUGGCUUAAUUUGACUCAACACAGAAAAUCUUACCGGGUCAGGACACAUUAAGGAUUGACAGAUGUUUUAAUUUAUUAUUUCAUUAUAUUUAUAUUUUGGUUUAAUAAAAAUUUACAUAGAAUGAUAGUUCUUUUAUGAUUAUGUGAUAAGUAGUGCAUGGCCGUUGUUAGUUCGUGGAAUAAUCUGUCUGCUUAAUUGCGUUUCUAUUAACAAGUCAUAUAUAGUCUUGGUAUUAUUUUCUUAUAUUAUUUUUAAGAUUAUUUUUUUUCUUAUUUAUUUAUGUAUUUAAAUAAUUUCCAUAUGUCUAUUGACUUAAUAAAACAUCAUGCAACGAGCGAGAUCGUAACCUUUUGUUAUAAUAUUUAUAUAGAUUUAAUUCUCUGAAAGAAAUUUCUAAUAAUUAAAAUCUAAAGGGACCACUGUUAAAAAAAAUUAUUAAACCAGAGUAAGAGUACGGCAAUAACAGGUCUGUGAUGCUCUUAGAUGUUCCGGGCUGCACACGUGCUACAAUAAUAAUAUUAAAGUACACUGUGUUUUUUUCAAAGGAAACUUAAAGAAAACAGGAUUUAUAACGUUAAAAUAUUAUAAUAAAUUAAUAUUUUUUACUAAUUUAUAAAUAUUAAGGUAGGAACAGACUAUUGUUAAUUAUUAGUCUCGUUUAUAACUAGGAAUGCCUUGUAUAGUUAAUAAUUAAUUAUAUUUAUUAAUUUUAUAUUAAUAUUUAUUACUGAUAAGAAUACUGAGUAGAAUAUGUCCCUGCCCUUUGUACACNCCNCCCGUCGCUCUUACCAAUGAAUUCCUAUAUGAGUAUAAGGGAUAGUCUUAAACUUUUUUUUUUUAAGAAAAAGAUAAACAUUUGAUCAUUAAACUAAUACAAAUAUAAUUAUUUAAAGGAAAGAGAAGUCGUAACAAGGCAUCAGUAGGUGAACCU